rnacentral:rRNA from 1 species
AGCGAACGCUGGCGGCAGGCUUAACACAUGCAAGUCGAGCGCCCCGCAAGGGGAGCGGCAGACGGGAGAGUAACACGUGGGAACAUACCUUUUGGUUCGGAACAACUGAGGGAAACUUCAGCUAAUACCGGAUAAGCCCUUACGGGGAAAGAUUUAUCGCCGAAAGAUUGGCCCGCGUCUGAUUAGCUAGUUGGUGAGGUAACGGCUCACCAAGGCGACGAUCGGUAGCUGGUCUGAGAGGAUGAUCAGCCUCACUGGGACUGAGACACGGCCCAGACUCCUACGGGAGGCAGCAGUGGGGAAUAUUGGACAAUGGGGGCAACCCUGAUCCAGCCAUGCCGCGUGAGUGAUGAAGGCCUUAGGGUUGUAAAGCUCUUUUGCCCGGGAAGAUAAUGACGGUACCGGGAGAAUAAGCCCCGGCUAACUUCGUG